rnacentral:rRNA from 1 species
AGCAGUGGGGAAUUUUCCGCAAUGGGCGAAAGCCUGACGGAGCAAUGCCGCGUGAAGGCAGAAGGCCCACGGGUCAUGAACUUCUUUUCUCGGAGAAGAAAAAAUGACGGUAUCUGAGGAAUAAGCAUCGGCUAACUCUGUGCCAGCAGCCGCGGUAAGACAGAGGAUGCAAGCGUUAUCCGGAAUGAUUGGGCGUAAAGCGUCUGUAGGUGGCUUUUCAAGUCCGCCGUCAAAUCCCAGGGCUCAACCCUGGACAGGCGGUGGAAACUACCCAAGCUGGAGUACGGUAGGGGCAGAGGGAAUUUCCCGGGUGGAGCGGUGAAAUGCGUUGAGGAUCGGAAAAGAACCACCACGGGCGAAAGCACUCUGCUGGGGCCGACACUGACACUGAGA